GCAAAUCAUGCCAGCAGAAAGACAUAACGUCAGCCACCAUAAAGCAAGGAAACUACCAGCAAGGCUCCUGCAGGAUGGAGGUGGGCUGGAAUGGGGAAAGCUUGCCUGAGGAUGAUAGCAACAGAAAUUACCAUCCCUCAGAGUUGCCCGUGCCUCAACUAGGAAAAAUGGGAGGAUUACUUUGGAAUUCUAUUGUGCCCGUGCAAAGAAACCUGACCACAAUGCUUACCUCGAUGGAACUGAGGUUCUGAACCUUUUUUUCAAGCCAUGACCUUCUUUGGCAGUCAGGGGAGUCUUGUGGAAAAAUAUUUUUACAUGCAUUAAAUAAAUAAAUAAAUAAAUAAAUAAAAUAAAACAAAA